AGAGUUUGAUCCUGGCUCAGAUUGAACGCUGGCGGCAUGCCUUACACAUGCAAGUCGAACGGUAACAGGGAGCUUGCUCCGCUGACGAGUGGCGAACGGGUGAGUAAUAUAUCGGAACGUACCAUUCAGUGGGGGAUAACGUAGCGAAAGUUACGCUAAUACCGCAUAUUCUGUGAGCAGGAAAGCAGGGGAUCGCAAGACCUUGCGCUGAUUGAGCGGCCGAUAUCAGAUUAGCUUGUUGGUGAGGUAAAAGCUCACCAAGGCGACGAUCUGUAGCGGGUCUGAGAGGAUGAUCCGCCACACUGGAACUGAGACACGGUCCAGACUCCUACGGGAGGCAGCAGUGGGGAAUUUUGGACAAUGGGGGCAACCCUGAUCCAGCCAUGCCGCGUGAGUGAAGAAGGCCUUCGGGUUGUAAAGCUCUUUCAGCCGGGAAGAAAACGCAUGGGUUAAUACCCUGUGUGGAUGACGGUACCGGAAUAAGAAGCACCGGCUAACUACGUGCCAGCAGCCGCGGUAAUACGUAGGGUGCGAGCGUUAAUCGGAAUUACUGGGCGUAAAGCGUGCGCAGGCGGUUUUGUAAGACAGGCGUGAAAUCCCCGGGUUUAACCUGGGAACUGCGUUUGCGACUGCAAGGCUAGAGUACGGCAGAGGGGGGUGGAAUUCCACGUGUAGCAGUGAAAUGCGUAGAGAUGUGGAGGAACACCAAUGGCGAAGGCAGCCCCCUGGGUCGAUACUGACGCUCAUGCACGAAAGCGUGGGUAGCAAACAGGAUUAGAUACCCUGGUAGUCCACGCCCUAAACGAUGUCAACUAGGUGUUGGGAGGGUAAAACCUUUUAGUACCGGAGCUAACGCGUGAAGUUGACCGCCUGGGGAGUACGGCCGCAAGGUUAAAACUCAAAGGAAUUGACGGGGACCCGCACAAGCGGUGGAUGAUGUGGAUUAAUUCGAUGCAACGCGAAAAACCUUACCUACCCUUGACAUGCCAAGAACUUUCCAGGAUGGAUUGGUGCCCGAAAGGGAACUUGGACACAGGUGCUGCAUGGCUGUCGUCAGCUCGUGUCGUGAGAUGUUGGGUUAAGUCCCGCAACGAGCGCAACCCUUGUCGUUAAUUGCCAUCAUUUAGUUGGGCACUUUAACGAGACUGCCGGUGACAAACCGGAGGAAGGUGGGGAUGACGUCAAGUCCUCAUGGCCCUUAUGGGUAGGGCUUCACACGUCAUACAAUGGUCGGUACAAAGGGUCGCCAAGCCGCGAGGUGGAGCCAAUCCCAGAAAGCCGAUCGUAGUCCGGAUCGCAGUCUGCAACUCGACUGCGUGAAGUCGGAAUCGCUAGUAAUCG
rnacentral:rRNA from 1 species